rnacentral:rRNA from 1 species
GACGAACGCUGGCGGCGUGCUUAACACAUGCAAGUCGAACAGAAAGGCCUGCUUUCCCUUGUGGAUUGCGGAUACUCGAGUGGCGAACGGGUGAGUAACACGUGAGUGAUCUGCCCCCAACUUGGGUAUAAGCCUGGGAAACUGGGUCUAAUUCCCGAUAGGACUGCAGGGUGGUGCCUGUGGUGGAAAACGAUUUUCUAGUGGUUGGGGAUGAGCUCGCGGCCUAUCAGCUUGUUGGUGGGGUAAUGGCCUACCAAGGCGGCGACGGGUAGCCGGCCUGAGAGGGUGGACGGCCACAUUGGGACUGAGAUACGGCCCAGACUCCUACGGGAGGCAGCAGUGGGGAAUAUUGCACAAUGGGCGGAAGCCUGAUGCAGCGACGCCGCGUGGGGGAUGACGGCCUUCGGGUUGUAAACUCCUUUCGACCGCGAGGAAGCCACCUGGUUGGAAGGGUGGUGACGGUAGUGGUAGAAGAAGCACCGGCUAACUACGUG